GCACAAGCACAAAACACACAGAGCCCUUCCAGCUCCACCUGCAGAGAGCAGCGCACAGGCACACGCCGCGAGUGGCGAGACCCAAACCAGCAGCCAUGCAGAUGCAGCUCAGCGUUCCGCCGCAGGUUGUCGUGUGUCUCGCGUUAGCCUUUCUGCUCCCGUGCCACGCCACGGCGACGGCCCCGGCCGGCACGAUACGGCGCGUGACCAAGCAGCAGAUCCUGGCGAGCAUCCCGCCGCACUGGGACGAGAACCCCGUGCUGUUCCUGACGUCGCCGUCGGGGAAGUACGCGGCGUACUUCAUGCGCAGCCAGACCGAGCCGGGCGCCGGAGGCCUGGGCGCCGACUUCUGCUACGUCGAGGUGCUCGACACGACGGCGCCGGGCGCCGAGGGCCGGAGCGUGUGGGAGUCGGAGUGCAUGGCCGUGAGCACCGUGAACACGUGCGCGCUCGUGUUCUCGUGGAACGGCCUGGAGGUGUUCGACGGGAGCACCUCGGUGUGGCACACCCACGACGCGCAGUCCGACGACCAGAACUUCCUGCAGACGCUGCAGCUGGUGGACCAGGGCGACAUGCGCAUCCUCGACAAGGGCGGCGAGCUGGCGUGGAAGGCCAGCGACGAGCCGCGCGCCGCGCAGCGCUGCGGGAUGCCCGGCUCGCCCGGCCUCGCCUCCGCUCUGCCCCCGUUCGCCGAACCGAUAGGCCACGGGAGCAGCGACCUGCCGUUUGGACAGGGAGACGCUUACGGCAACGGCGUCGGAGUCGGAGUCGGUGUUGGUGCUGGCGGCGCGGCGCAACCCGAGGCACCGCUUGCGGCGCCUUUGCCGCAGCCCGAGUCGUUGCCACUGGCGCCGCUACCUCAGGAAGCCGAUCAGUUCGGUGGCGCCGCCGCCGCCGCCGCGGGGCAGGGACAGACCGUGCAGGAUGUGGGGCAGACGUUCGGAUUCGGCAACCAGCCGCUGGUGGACAACAGCCCGUACGACAGUGGGGCGCUCAAGCAUGGAUGCAGCCUGGUGGGGAACUCGGUUGCUUUGGGUCUCAGCGUUGCCGUCGCCAUGGGUCUGGGCCUCUGAGUUCGAGACAUGCCAGCGUGCAAACGGUUGUGGUGUGCUAAACUCUUGUUAUUAUCUCCGGCACAAGAAGCCGGUAGAUGUAUUGUGUUUGGGGGUGGUUCUUGUUUGGUGAUGUCAGUGGGGUAUUGUCGUUGUAGUCUAAUCUUGAGACUGCAAAUUGUUUGUUAGAAAGCUCAGCUAAAAAAACAAAGUCAUCUAUGUUAC
rnacentral:misc_RNA from 1 species